rnacentral:lncRNA from 1 species
AUCCUCUUCCUAUUCUUCUCCUUCUUCUUCUUCUUCUUCUUAUUCUUCUUCUUCUUCUCCUUGUUCUCCAUCUUAUUCUCCUUCUUCUUCUUCUUCUUCUUCUUCUUCUCCUUCUCCUUCUUCUUCUUCUUCUCCUUCUCCUCUUUCUUGUUCUCCUUAGCUUAUUUUCCCAACAAAGACAUACUUAGCUAAUUAUCCUCCAAAUUGACAGAAUUAGCUAAUUUAGCUCCAAAAUGACAUAAUUAGCUACUUUAGCUCCAAAAUGAUAUAAUUAGCUUAGUUAGGUAAAAAACAACACAGAACCUUGGUUACCUCAUAACUUAGCGUAUCUUCCUCCUAAAUGAGAUAAUAAGCUCUAAGUAAGAAAAGUAUUGUAAUCAUCCUCUUCCUCUUCCUCUCCUUCUUCUUCGUCGUCUUCUCCUCCUUCUUAUUCUUUUAUCCUUAUUUUUCUUCUUCUCCUUCUUCUUCUUCUUCUUCUUCUCCUUCUUUUUCUUCUUCUUCUUCUCCUUCUCCCCCUCUUUCUUCUCCUCGUUCUUCUUCUCCUUACUUUAUUU